rnacentral:rRNA from 1 species
AUGUACGUGCCGCAGUCGUCCCGCGGCGGGGGCGGCUCCUCCGGGGAGCAGCCUAGGGUUUACCAAGUCUGGCGGGGAAGCAACGAGUUUCUCUUGCAAGGGCGGUUCAUAUUUGGACCUGAUGUGAGAUCCUUGUUUCUCACUAUAUUCCUCAUCCUUGCACCAGUGUUGGUCUUCUGUAUAUUUGUUGCCAGACAUCUGAUGAAUGAUUUUCCUGAUCACUGGGGGAUUUCAGUUAUGGUUGUAGCGGUUGUCUUCACAGUAUAUGAUUUGACGCUGCUGCUUCUUACCUCUGGUAGAGAUCCUGGUAUAGUACCUCGUAACACGCACCCCCCUGAACCUGAAUCCCUUGAUGGGAACAAUGAUACUGGAAAUGGUCAGACUCCACAACAAUUGCGCUUACCACGGACAAAGGAUGUUUAUGUAAAUGGAGUUGUUGUAAAGGUCAAGUACUGCGACACCUGCAUGCUGUAUCGGCCACCUCGUUGCUCUCACUGUUCUAUCUGUAACAACUGUGUGGAGCGUUUUGAUCAUCACUGUCCUUGGGUUGGUCAAUGCAUAGGACUGCGUAAUUAUCGCUUCUUUUAUAUGUUUGUCUUCUCGACCACAUUACUCUGCCUCUACGUAUUUGGGUUCUGCUGGGUGUACAUAAUUAAGAUCAGAGAUGCAGAAGGUUCAUCGAUUUGGAAGGCAAUGUUGAAGACACCCGCCUCAAUGGUUCUGAUCAUCUACUGUUUUAUUUGUGUGUGGUUUGUUGGUGGUCUUUCUGUCUUCCAUUUCUACCUGAUGAGCACCAACCAGACUACAUAUGAGAACUUCAGGUAUCGGUACGACCGGCGGGCUAACCCAUAUAACGUAGGUGUGGUGAACAACUUUCUGGAGAUCUUCUGCACUGCUGUCCCCGCUUCCAAGAACAAUUUCCGAGCUAGGGUCCCAGUAGAGCAAGGUUUACAGCAAUCACGCCCACCAACCAGGGGUUUCAUGAGCCCAAACAUGGGCAAACCUGUUGGAGACCUUGAAUUGGGCAGGAAGCCAGUAUCAUGGGACGAACCUCGGUCAGGAGCUGAUAUAAGAGAUUUAGGAGUUGGGGGCAUGCUGGAUGAGAAAGAGGGCAGAAUAACCCAUGCGUCACCGGAUCUGAGCAGAGAAGCCCUUCCAGUUGAGCUCAUGGAAGGCAGGGCUGUUAUGCAUUCGAGACGAUCAAGCUGGGGUCACAGAAGUGGGACCUCAGAGUCGAUGGACAGCAUCGCCGUGCAGAUGGGAGGUGGAGAAACUAACUGGGGCUCGGUCAGCAGUGGCCACGGCACAACCAGUGGAACUCACUAG